CGCCGUGCCUUCAGCCUGGGGGGGCAGCGGUUAAGACUUGUAGUGAUGUUUAGCUCAUCUCCACGUGAACAUCACUGCAAGUCUGUGCUGCUUCUCCCCUCCUCCCUGCCGUCGGAGCU
rnacentral:pre_miRNA from 13 species